rnacentral:rRNA from 1 species
UACAGAGGGGGCAAGCGUUAUUCGGAAUUAUUGGGCGUAAAGGGCGCGUAGGCGGCUUUUCAAGUGACGGGUGAAAUCCCUCAGCUUAACUGGGGAACUGCGUCUGAUACUGGAUGGCUUGAGAUUGGGAGAGGGAUGCGGAAUUCCAGGUGUAGCGGUGAAAUGCGUAGAUAUCUGGAGGAACACCGGUGGCGAAGGCGGCAUCCUGGACCAACACUGACACUGAGGAGCGAAAGCCAGGGGAGCAAACGGG